GGCCACCCCAAUAUCGAAGGGGACUAAAACUAGAUUGCUGUUCUACCAAGUAAUCCAU
rnacentral:misc_RNA from 1 species